GACAGAGGUGCCGAGCGUUUAGGCGGAAUCAGCUGGGCUUAAAGCGUGUGUAGGCGGGCCGUUAAGUGUCUUGUGAAAUCCCCCGGCUCAACCGGGGAAUUGCUGGGCAUACUGGCGGUCUGAGCGAUCUAGGGGCAGGAUGGAACAAGUGGUGGAGCGGUGAAAUGCGUAGAUAUCAACUUGGAACGCCAAGGUGAAGACAGUCUGCUGGGCCGACACUGACACUGAGAGACGAAAGCUAGGGGAGCGAAUGGG
rnacentral:rRNA from 1 species